ensembl:lncRNA
AUUGAGCACAGCUGAUGGCAGUUGCUGCUGCUUCAUUUUCCCUUCCCUUGGGAAUAAGGAAAAUAAUUUUCUUUGUCUUAGCAAAAAUCCCCACCCAGAUUCAGAAAGGGUCACAAAUUAUUACAACAAAAAUUUGCUAGGUGCCAAGUAGAGUUUUGGGCACACAUUGACUCACACCCAAACCCCCCUCAUUGUAGGAAUCACCCACAUCUUUAACAAAUAAAUUGUAAGGAGUGCUGGGUCACACACAAGACCGAAUUGGAAAGCGAGGGUUUGGAAUGCUGAUAGCCUGAUUUUGAGCCUAAGUUCCUACUCAUUUAGCUACUUCUUUAUGAAAGGACUUCUAAAGAAAAGGAGAACGACAACGGCUGCCUCCCACAUUAAAAAGUCUCAGGAGAUGCUCAGCUCUUGGAUUUGUCAUCAGGACCAUAGGAGAAGAUGUAUGCAAAACAGCUAACACUGUCGCCUCCGUGUUGUGCAGUGAAAUAUUUGACACUUGCUUCCCUGGUGACUCAGAGGUUAAAGCAUCUGCCUCCAAUGCGAGAGACCUGGGUUUGAUCCCUGGAUCAGGAAGAUCCCCUGGAGAAGGAAAUGGUAACCCACUCCAGUAUUCUUGCCUGGAGAAUCCCAUGGAUGGAGGACCCUGGAAGGCUACAGUCCAUAGGGUCUUAAAGAGUUGGACACAACUGAGCGACUUCACUUUACUUCAGUUCUUCACUUCUUAGAGAUUAUAUAAUUAUACAGUAACAUUAACUUUCCAAAAUAUCAAGGGAAAUAAAAAGUCAACCUGUCAGCCUUAAUACAUUAUAAUAAUAUAUAAUACAAAGUACUAUAACACAGACAUGAAUAGACAUAUGAGUGACUGGUAAUUAUUGCUUUAGGAGUUAAGUAAAAUGGAAAUAUGACAAAUAU